GACGUAGGGCGCGAGCGUUGUCCGGAUUUAUUGGGCGUAAAGAGCUCGUAGGCGGCUUGUCGCGUCGACUGUGAAAUCCCCGCGGCUCAACUGCGGGUCUGCAGUCGAUACGGGCAGGCUAGAGUUCCGGUAGGGGAGACUGGAAUUCCUGGUGUAGCGGUGAAAUGCGCAGAUAUCAGGAGGAACACCGGUGGCGAAGGCGGGUCUCUGGGCCGAUACUGACGCUGAGGAGCGAAAGCGUGGGGAGCGAACAGG
rnacentral:rRNA from 1 species